GUGAGGAAUAUUGCUCAAUGGGCGAAAGCCUGAAGCAGCGACGCCGCGUGAGGGAUGAAAUCCGUUAGGAUGUAAACCUCUUUUGCGGGGGAAGAAUACAACGCCUCGUGCGUUGUUGACGGUACCCCGUGAAUAAGCACCGGCCAACUACGUGCCAGCAGCCGCGGUAAUACGUAGGGUGCGAGCGUUGUCCGGAAUUACUGGGUGUAAAGGGUCCGCAGGCGGGCGAGCAAGUCGGUGGUGAAAUCUUACGGCUCAACCGUGAAAUUGCCUUCGAUACUGCUCGUCUUGAGUUCGAGAGAGGAUGAUGGAAUUCAUGGUGUAGCGGUGAAAUGCGUAGAGAUCAUGAAGAACACCAGUAGCGAAGGCGGUCAUCUGGCUCGACACUGACGCUCAGGGACGAAAGCGUGGGUAGCAAACAGGAUUAGAAACCCGAGUAGUCC
rnacentral:rRNA from 1 species